CCUACGGGUGGCAGCAGUGAGGAAUAUUGGUCAAUGGGCGGGAGCCUGAACCAGCCAAGCCGCGUGAAGGAAGAAGGCGCCAGGCGUCGUAAACUUCUUUUGUCGGGGAACAAAGGGCGCCACGCGUGGCGUUGUGAGUGUACCCGAAGAAAAAGCAUCGGCUAACUCCGUGCCAGCAGCCGCGGUAAUACGGAGGGUGCAAGCGUUGUCCGGAAUCAUUGGGCGUAAAGAGUUCGUAGGCGGCAUGUAAAGUCAGGUGUUAAAGGCGCAGGCUCAACCUGUGUAUGGCACUUGAUACUUGCAAGCUGGAAUGCGGUAGAGGUAAAGGGAAUUCCUGGUGUAGCGGUGAAAUGCUUAGAUAUCAGGAGGAACAUCGGUGGCGUAAGCGCUUUACUGGGCCGUAAUUGACGCUGAGGAACGAAAGCCAGGGUAGCAAAUGGGAUUAGAUACCCUGGUAGUC
rnacentral:rRNA from 1 species